CCUACGGGAGGCAGCAGUAAGGAAUAUUGGUCAAUGGGCGCAAGCCUGAACCAGCCAUGCCGCGUGCAGGAAGACGGCCCUAUGGGUUGUAAACUGCUUUUGAACAAGAGAAAACCUCGGUACGUGUACCGAGCUGAUAGUAUUGUUAGAAUAAGCAUCGGCUAACUUCGUGCCAGCAGCCGCGGUAAGACGAAGGAUGCAAGCGUUAUCCGGAUUCAUUGGGUUUAAAGGGUGCGUAGGCGGCCUGAUAAGUCAGUGGUGAAAUCUCUCAGCUUAACUGAGAAACUGCCAUUGAUACUGUCGGGCUUGAGUACAGAUGAUGUGGGCGGAAUAUGACAUGUAGUGGUGAAAUACUUAGAUAUGUCAUAGAACACCGAUUGCGAAGGCAGCUCACAAAACUGUAACUGACGCUGAGGCACGAAAGUGCGGGGAUCAAACAGGAUUAGAUACCCUGGUAGUCCGCACCGUAAACGAUGAUUACUCGUUGUUGGNAUAUGACGUCGAGCGACCGAACGACGAAAGAACGAGUAAGUUAAUUACUACCGUUACGGGUUAGGUACGGCCGGCCGACGGUAGGAACGACGAAGAAGUUAGUUAGGACGNGAGAGAGCGACGACGACGACGAGGAGGAGGAG
rnacentral:rRNA from 1 species